GGUGCAGCAGGCGCGAAAACUCUACAAUGCAGGCAACUGCGAUAGGGGAACAUCGAGUGAUCCUCAUAUUGGGGGUCUGUCCCACCGUCUAAAAAACGGUGGUUAGCAAGGGCCGGGCAAGACCGGUGCCAGCCGCCGCGGUAAUACCGGCGGCUCGAGUGGUGGCCGAUAUUAUUGAGUCUAAAGGGUCCGUAGCCGGCUUUGCAAGUCUCUCGGGAAAUCCAGCGGCUUAACCGUUGGUCGUCCGGGGGGUACUACAUUGCUUGGGACUGGGAGAGGUAGGAGGUACUCAGGGGGUAGGAGUGAAAUCCUGUAAUCCUCUGGGGACCACCGGUGGCGAAGGCGUCCUACCAGAACAGGUCCGACGGUGAGGGACGAAAGCUAGGGGCACGAACCGGAUUAGAUACCCGGGUAGUCCUAGCCGUAAACGAUGCUCGCUAGGUGUCACAACAGUCGUGAACUGUUGUGGUGCCGUAGGGAAGCCGUGAAGCGAGCCACUUGGGAAGUACGACCGCAAGGUUGAAACUUAAAGGAAUUGGCGGGGGAGCAC
rnacentral:rRNA from 1 species